GGCCCCUUGGUCAAGUGGUUAAGACAUCGCCCUUUCACGGCGGUAACAUGGGUUCGAAUCCCGUAGGGGUCACCA
rnacentral:tRNA from 1 species